UACGUAGGGACCGAGCGUUGUCCGGAAUCAUUGGGCGUAAAGAGCGUGUAGGCGGUCCGGUAAGUCCGCUGUGAAAGUCGGGGGCUCAACCCUCGAAAGCCGGUGGAUACUGUCGGGCUCGAGUACGGAAGAGGCGAGUGGAAUUCCUGGUGUAGCGGUGAAAUGCGCAGAUAUCAGGAGGAACACCAAUUGCGAAGGCAGCUCGCUGGGACGUUACUGACGCUGAGACGCGAAAGCGUGGGGAGCAAACAGG
rnacentral:rRNA from 1 species